GCAGGACCAAGUAGGCUUCUCCGACGGAGAAACAAUUGUCCACCAUGGCACAUCAGAAAAUGCUGAAAAGGACACGCGACGUUCCAGUGGAUGGCAGACGGAGAGAAUGACAUCAUCCAUCAAAAAAAAUACAGUCUCAACGAAAGAUAUAAAAAGGAACUUGACCCUGUGGUUGGAGAAGAUCUUCCGGACCAACUCACACCUCUCAAAUGUGGCCCUUACUACUCGGAAGCUGGUGGUGUAUAUCACUAUCCGCCCAAACUCUAGUGUCAACUUCGGCUAGAAAGGAAAACACAUAAAAAAUUCAAUGAGUUGCUGUAUGUGAUUAACCAUCAAUAAAAAGGUAACUGCCAAAAUAAAUAAACACCAACAUAAAGUGUCUUAAUAGGGCGUUGGGCCACCACGAGCCAGAACAGCUUCAAUGCACCUUGGCAUAGAUUCUACAA